rnacentral:ncRNA from 1 species
CUACAGGCGAUGAAAAGAAUAAGUAGUGAUUCCCGGAAUCCACAGAAAGCAGCCGGUCGAUGAGAGGCGCGGAGAAAAGGAAUCAUGAAUACCUCUUGGAGCUUCCCUCUGAAACCGCAGCGCGCGUGCGGCAAGUAGGAGGAGACGGACGCACCCGUUAUCGUGCAGGGUAUCAUGGCGUACCUGGUAAGGCGGCAGGCGUGAGCGUGCCGUGAAAAAAGGUGGUAACACGGGAUCUGGCUCUCGUCCUUUUA